rnacentral:rRNA from 1 species
AGGUCUUGACAUCUUCUGCCAACCUAAGAGAUUAGGCGUUCCCUUCGGGGACAGAAUGACAGGUGGUGCAUGGUUGUCGUCAGCUCGUGUCGUGAGAUGUUGGGUUAAGUCCCGCAACGAGCGCAACCCUUAUUGUUAGUUGCCAGCAUUUAGUUGGGCACUCUAGCAAGACUGCCGGUGACAAACCGGAGGAAGGUGGGGAUGACGUCAAAUCAUCAUGCCCCUUAUGACCUGGGCUACACACGUGCUACAAUGGACGGUACAACGAGUCGCGAAACCGCGAGGUCAAGCUAAUCUCUUAAAGCCGUUCUCAGUUCGGAUUGUAGGCUGCAACUCGCCUACAUGAAGUUGGAAUCGCUAGUAAUCGUGGAUCAGCAUGCCACGGUGAAUACGUUCCCGGGCCUU